AUGGCACGCCGUGGUGCUUCGGUCCACCCCAAUCUCUCCGUGGAGUUCGUCGAGAUCGACACCGAUGGUGAGCUUGACAUCGUCGAUGCGGCCCGAGAGCUGGUUCAGCUUGCUGUCGAGCUUGGCGAGGGCGGCGGACAUCUCCUCACUGCGCUCCGCCAAGCUCUUGGAGAAGGCUGCGUCGAAGUCAGCCCGGAGGAGUUCGUAGAUGGCCUUGGUCUCCGGCGGAAUUCUCUCCAUGGCCUCGGCGCGGCGGCGGUCGGCGAAUCGUUCUGCGCCGUGCGUGCAGUCGUCGGCUUCUUGGAGCGCAUCGGGUUCAUCGGCGUGGGGGGCAACCUGAUCACGUACCUGACCGGCCUGCUGGGCAUGUCAACCGCGGCCGGCGCCGCCGUCGUGAACGCCUGGUCCGGGACCGUGCUGGUGCUGCCGCUCGUCGGUGCGGUAGCCGCCGACUCGCGCCUCGGGCGGUACCGAGCGGUCCUGAUCGCCGGCGCGCUCUACCUGCUGGUCAGUACUAGCACAAACUUCGCCCCCUCCUCUGUUCCGAGCAUCUUGUGUGGUGGAGGUGGCUAUGAAUUUGAUUCCGGCGAGGUCUGGUUCAAUCCCCGUCACGGAAUUGAUUCACUGGCGCGUCAUACAUACAAUGAUAUAAUAACAACAAAAAUCUGGAUCGAUGAUCUCCUUGAGAUUUCAGAAUCCAGACCUGUGCAAUCGGAAGGGGAUGGACAGAUCAGCAGCCAUCCAUGUGACGAGGCUGCUAGUCAAUCUGAGACCAAUAGUAGCCCGACAGAAAAAAUAGGACAAGUUCUAGUAACACUAAAUACAUCAGUUCGACCUUUGACGUCUCAGUCCACUGCCACCAACACCAGCGCAAGUAGUGCGAUGUCGAGUUAUUUAUGCCAAAACCAUCAUGUUGGAGCUAGGUUAACAGGUCGAUACAAUUUCUGA
rnacentral:rRNA from 1 species